rnacentral:rRNA from 1 species
GACGGAGGAUGCAAGCGUUAUCCGGAAUGAUUGGGCGUAAAGCGUCCGCAGGUGGCAGUUCAAGUCUGCUGUCAAAGACCGGGGCUUAACUUCGGAAAGGCAGUGGAAACUGAACAGCUAGAGUAUGGUAGGGGCAGAGGGAAUUCCUGGUGUAGCGGUGAAAUGCGUAGAUAUCAGGAGGAACACCGGUGGCGAAGGCGGAUCUCUGGGCCUGUCCUGACGCUCAGGCGCGAAAGCUAGGGGAGCGAACAGG